rnacentral:rRNA from 1 species
GAGUACGGCCGCAAGGUUAAAACUCAAAUGAAUUGACGGGGGCCCGCACAAGCGGUGGAGCAUGUGGUUUAAUUCGAUGCAACGCGAAGAACCUUACCUGGUCUUGACAUCCACGGAAGUUUUCAGAGAUGAGAAUGUGCCUUCGGGAACCGUGAGACAGGUGCUGCAUGGCUGUCGUCAGCUCGUGUUGUGAAAUGUUGGGUUAAGUCCCGCAACGAGCGCAACCCUUAUCCUUUGUUGCCAGCGGUCCGGCCGGGAACUCAAAGGAGACUGCCAGUGAUAAACUGGAGGAAGGUGGGGAUGACGUCAAGUCAUCAUGGCCCUUACGACCAGGGCUACACACGUGCUACAAUGGCGCAUACAAAGAGA